UGCGAACUCCUACGGGAGGCAGCAGUGGGGAAUAUUGGACAAUGGGCGAAAGCCUGAUCCAGCCAUGCCGCGUGUGUGAAGAAGGUCUUCGGAUUGUAAAGCACUUUAAGUUGGGAGGAAGGGCAUUAACCUGAUACGUUGGUGUCUUGACGUUACCGACAGAAUAAGCACCGGCUAACUCUGUGCCAGCAGCCGCGGUAAUACAGAGGGUGCAAGCGUUAAUCGGAAUUACUGGGCGUAAAGCGCGCGUAGGUGGUUUGUUAAGUUGAAUGUGAAAUCCCCGGGCUCAACCUGGGAACUGCAUACAGAACUGGCAAGCUAGAGUAUGGGAGAGGGUAGUGGAAUUUCCUGUGUAGCGGUGAAAUGCGUAGAUAUAGGAAGGAACACCAGUAGCGAAGGCGCCUACCUGGACUGAUACUGACACUGAGGUGCGAAAGCGUGGGGAGCAAACAGGAUUAGAACCCCGUGUAGUCCAGAUG
rnacentral:rRNA from 1 species